UUCGUGUUAUAUAUAUAUAUACACUUAAAUCCCUUGUACGUGGAGAUACUGGUUCAUCAUCAUGUUCGAAGCAAAUAUAAUGGCAUUUUGAGCUCGAUUGGCGAAAAUUCAACCAAUAACAAUGUUAUGAUCUCAUCGAAAUCAUCCAAUGAAAUCAGGCCACAAAAUGAUCACUCAAUCUUCACAAGCACAGCUAUUGAACCAGAUGCCCCGAAGACUCGAAAGAGAAAGACUCAAAAUAAAUCUUUUCGUUGGUUAUUUUUGGCGCAAUUCAACGUUCAACCGCGUGUCUUCGCCGCUGUGCUCCUUCGCAAGCGGACCUUCUCAUUAUAAAAACGACAGGAAAAGAUGCAAAUUGUCUCUUGCAAUUUGACUAUGAACAAUUAUGAAGAAAUUUAUUACGAUUCGUAUUACGCAACCCAUUGCGUAUCCUAAAGUUAAAAAGUGAAACAAAAAAAACGACUAGUUAUGGAAAGAAUUGGAAGAGAAUUAUAAAAAGAAGGUUCUCAAAUGAAACAGACAUUCAGACUGAAUGUAUUUUUAGGGAUUUACUUGUGCACACAUUCAAAAAUGUUUUUGCA